rnacentral:rRNA from 1 species
CCUACGGGAGGCAGCAGUGGGGAAUAUUGGACAAUGGGCGAAAGCCUGAUCCAGCCAUGCCGCGUGUGUGAAGAAGGCCUUCGGGUUGUAAAGCACUUUCAGUGGGGAAGAAAGCCUUGGGGCUAAUACCCUCGAGGAAGGACAUCACCCACAGAAGAAGCACCGGCUAACUCCGUGCCAGCAGCCGCGGUAAUACGGAGGGUGCGAGCGUUAAUCGGAAUUACUGGGCGUAAAGCGCGCGUAGGCGGUCUGAUAAGCCGGUUGUGAAAGCCCCGGGCUCAACCUGGGAACGGCAUCCGGAACUGUCAGGCUAGAGUGCAGGAGAGGAAGGUAGAAUUCCCGGUGUAGCGGUGAAAUGCGUAGAGAUCGGGAGGAAUACCAGUGGCGAAAGCGGCCUUCUGGACUGACACUGACGCUGAGGUGCGAAAGCGUGGGUAGCAAACAGGAUUAGAUACCCCAGUAGUC